rnacentral:lncRNA from 1 species
AUGUGUAGUUACUGUAUGUUUUUUUUUUUGUUGAUUUUCAGCUUUGUUUUGAAGAAAAAUACCCAGCUCAAUCAAAGAGGUGGCAGGUUCGUUCUCGGUUAGUUCGACUAUGAAAGUCUUGGAGAGAGCUCGCACGAGCAGGUGUAUGGUGUAUGACUGGUUGAAUUGGGUCAAAUUUAUACCAUUUUUUAUCAGUGUAUUAGUGUGUUGUACAUUUGUGUGAAGUGUACUGGCCUAACCUAUCGAUUCGAAUUGUUUGACUCUUUGAACUGCCCGAUCCUCCCAUUUUAUGACCUCUAGGAUGAUGUAAAGUUCAG